rnacentral:rRNA from 1 species
UACGUAUGGUGCGAACGUUGUUCGGAAUCACUGGGCAUAAAGAGCACGUAGGCGGUUAAGCAAGUCCAUUGUGAAAUCCCCCGGCCUAACCGGGGAACUGCAUUGGAUACUACUUGACUUGAGUGCAGGAGGGGAGAGUGGAAUUCCAGGUGGAGCGGUGAAAUGCGUAGAUAUCGUCAGGAACGCCGGUGGUGAAGACGGGUGACUGGGCUGGUUCUGACACUGAGGCACGAAAGCGUGGGGAGCGAACGGG